rnacentral:rRNA from 1 species
CGUGUAGGCGGCCAAGCAAGUCAGAGGUGAAAGCCCUGGGCUCAACCUGGGAACUGCCUUUGAAACUGUUUGGCUUGAGACCGGAAGAGGGUGGCGGAAUUCCCAGUGUAGAGGUGAAAUUCGUAGAUAUUGGGAAGAACACCGGUGGCGAAGGCGGCCAUCUGGUCCGGUUCUGACGCUGAGGCGCGAAAGCGUGGGGAGCAAACA